GACAGUAUAGAGGGUUGUGUGUGAAGCAUGUAGAAAGCAAUCAGCCUGGAGCGACCUCCGGGGUAGGAUACAAGAGAGGAGGAGGAUAAAACACAGAAAUGGAAUGACAGUGCAAGAGAAGCGGGGGAACAGGAGAGGAGAAACAAUAAGAGAAAAGGGGAAAGAUGCUGAGAAAACAGCCACACAAAGGACACAAUAGUGAAAGGAGGAAAUAGGCAUGAAAAAGAGGAAGAAGAAAAAGAAAAAAAGUAGAGAAGAGGUUUGUCAUAGUAGUGGAAUAAGAAAAUGGAUCAACUGAAAGGAAAAGCACUGCGACAGGCUGUGUGACCAGAGAGGCUCGAGAGGGAAUCUACCUCACACUGCUGCACACCGCAACAUCCGCCUUCAUGAAUAACAAGUAGCCAUGAAUCCAACGACCCCUCCUGCUCCACACACAAACACACACACACACACACACACACACACACACACACACACAUACAUACUCAUGCAUACAUACAAAACACGCAUACAGUAUAUCUAUAUGUCACAAACAUGCAUAUAUCCAAAUAUAUCCCACACUUUUCUAUGUGCUCUGAUAUCAUUAUCUACACGCACAGAUGCACAUGCACAAACAAAGAGGCAGGCCUGUCAAGGCACACAGAUGGGGUUUGUGUCUGCCAAGUGCUAUGUAUGGAAAACUGUAAUGAAUAUGAUUACAUCCUUGAGACUGGUGUAUUUCACGUAAUGAGCAAGACAAAAGCAGUCCACAACAUUUGUGUUUCAGGUAUCCAGUUGGUUGUGUUAUCCAAAGUAAGCUUGCAAACAUACACACAUGCACAGAUCCAAGCACCAUUAAAAAACUUAAAACUGAGGCAGAUGAACACAAGCUUAUGAGCACUGUGAGAAACAUGGCUGACAUAAACUUCAAGCUAAAGCUAAAAUAGGUUAAGCCCCUGCCAGAUUUUCUACCACAUUAGCUAGCUGACUGAGUGGAAAACUCAUUAGUUAAGAGCACUGGUUAGUAUGAAGUAAGUUUCAGCAUUUAGAAAAUUGCCAUGCUUUAAAUAUCUAUAUAAAAUGUAGAAAUAGUAUUAAAAUGUCUUGUACAUCUGUAUUAUGUUUUCUCAUUCCUAUUGGCUCUCAAAUCAAUCUUCAAUUAAAUUGUAUUUGUAUAACCCAUAUUCACAAUAAAAACUUGUCUCAUAGGGCUUUAACAAUGUUUGACAUCCUCUGCCCUUAACCCUGAACAAGAGUAAGGGAAAACUACCAACAAACCCCAAUUAACAGGGUUAGAAACUCGUAGAACCUUUAGAAAGAGCCACAUGUGAGGGAUCCCUAUCCCACGACAGAUAGAAGUGCAAUCGAUGCCACGUGUAACUGAGAACAUCUACAGAUAACAGUAUUUACAACAUUGAUUAGAAGAAACAUAAAGGAAAAGUGUGUCAAUGGAGUAUUUAUAUAUAAGAAAAUGUGUGAUAGAGAUGAAGGAAGCAGCAAAGAGUUGAUGAGAAUAAUUGAUGAGAUAAUGUCAGUAAUGGUAGAAUAUAUGAGUAGGAUUUUGUAACAAUUUAAUUUCAAGGAUGAAGUCUUUUUCUGUUUAGCAACAAGAAAAUUUGACCUUUUAUGUUGUGCAUUUGACUUAAUGAGAAGCUGUCUUUGGACCAAUUAUUGUUUAAAUAAAUGUAUUAAAUCACUGUGCAGCCAAAUAUGAGCUUUCCUUUGGUCCACCAUCCAGAUGUUUAUGUAAACUUCCUUUGGAAUGUGAAAUAAAAUGAAAUAAAAACA